GCACUCUGCUAGGGGAGCCGGAAACGGCUGAGACUGAACCUUUGUUCUACACCCUUGGAACCUGAUCUGGAUGAUGCCAGCGUAGGGAAGCAGGCUUGCGAAACG
rnacentral:ncRNA from 2 species